GAUGAACGCUGGCGGCGUGCCUAAUACAUGCAAGUCGAGCGAACAGACGAGGAGCUUGCUCCUCUGACGUUAGCGGCGGACGGGUGAGUAACACGUGGAUAACCUACCUAUAAGACUGGGAUAACUUCGGGAAACCGGAGCUAAUACCGGAUAACAUGUUGAACCGCAUGGUUCAACAGUGAAAGACGGUGUUGCUGUCACUUAUAGAUGGAUCCGCGUCGCAUUAGCUAGUUGGUAAGGUAACGGCUUACCAAGGCAACGAUGCGUAGCCGACCUGAGAGGGUGAUCGGCCACACUGGAACUGAGCCACGGACCAGACUCCUACGGGAGGCAGCAGUAGGGAAUCUUCCGCAGUGGGCGAAAGCAUGACGGAGCAACGCCGCGUGAGUGAAGAAGGUCUUCGGAUCGUAAAACUCUGUUAUUAGGGAAGAACAAAUGUGUAAGUAACUAUGCACGUCUUGACGGUACCUAAUCAGAAAGCAACGGCUAACUACGUG
rnacentral:rRNA from 1 species